GAAACCCCCGCCCAGCCUCUCCAGUGCACCUCUGUAACACGAGCACAAGAAACCCCACAGCCAGAGCCCCAAUAUGACAUGUCCAGGGAUGCACUGAGAUGCUGGGCGGGGUUUCCCCUCACUGGAUCUGCUGCCGGACACACACCUGCAGCAGACUGGAAAUCAGCACAUGUUAAUUGGCACUGAUCACCACUCUACAUGCUGCCAGAUGAUUUCGUCAGUACUGCAUGUGUUUCACCUUGUUUCAUUUCAGCUCGUCACUUUAUGCCCUCCACCAGUGCAACGGUGAUGCUAUCCUUCUCCCCCUCCUCCUUGCCAGUGAGUGGAAAUCUACAUCUGAUCCUCCUUGCCACUUAGGCCGGGUGCUAUAAAGUGGUGCUGGAGCCAGAGUGACUGAGCUACAGACUGCACUUUUUACUUUGGAGGCUAAUCUUCCUCUGUUGACCAGCGUUUUGCUUGUAAAUACACUAUUUUCUAGCAUAACA